UACGAGGGGGGCAAGCGUUGUUCGGAAUUAUUGGGCGUAAAGGGCGCGUAGGCGGUGCGGUAAGUCACCUGUGAAACCUCUAGGCUCAACCUAGAGCCUGCAGGCGAAACUGCCGUGCUUGAGGGUGGGAGAGGUGCGUGGAAUUCCCGGUGUAGCGGUGAAAUGCGUAGAUAUCAGGAGGAACACCGGUGGUGUAGACGGCUCUCUGGACCGUAACUGACGCUGAGGCACGAAAGCGUGGGUAGCAAACAGG
rnacentral:rRNA from 1 species